UCGAGAUCAAGGUCACACGAACAGGAGUGACUAAACUUUUUCUUAGGCCUGUUUCUGAGAUGGUGCUUCUUCUCCCCCCAGAGGCCCAGUGAAGAGAACUGUCUAGGAUCUAUUGAGUGGCGUGUAUUCACGCCAGGCGGGGAGUGUUUUGUUACAAUUGUUAAGCCAGCAUGUUAAUACGUUUUAUUUUGAAAACAGGAAAUGUCCCGUAACUUCCGGUAGCUUGUAAUCAGGAAGUAAACAAGAGCAUGGCUCAGAGACGCUGUCUUCAUUAGUCUUGUAAUCCAGUGGAAUCUGCAUACAUCUUGUACCUUUUGAUAGCAUCGUUGUUUUACACUUUCCUAUGUCAAUAAACCUGUGGACAACGGACAA